UACGUAGGGUGCAAGCGUUAAUCGGAAUUACUGGGCGUAAAGCGUGCGCAGGCGGCUUUGCAAGUCAGAUGUGAAAUCCCCGGGCUCAACCUGGGAACUGCAUUUGUGACUGCAUGGCUAGAGUGCGGCAGAGGGGGAUGGAAUUCCGCGUGUAGCAGUGAAAUGCGUAGAUAUGUGGAGGAAUACCGAUGGCGAAGGCAGCCCCCUGGGAUAACACUGACGCUCAUGCACGAAAGCGUGGGGAGCAAACAGG
rnacentral:rRNA from 1 species